rnacentral:rRNA from 1 species
CAGGGAGGUAGUGACAAGAAAUAACAAUACGGGGCUUUACGUCUUGUAUUGGAAUGAUGGGAAUCUAAACCUCUUCCAGAGUAUCAAUUGGAGGGCAAGUCUGGUGCCAGCAGCCGCGGUAAUUCCAGCUCCAAUAGCGUAUAUUAAAAUUGUUGCAGUUAAAAAGCUCGUAGUUGAAUUUCUGCUGCAUCGCCUUUUCUCCUUUACGAGUUUUGGCAUUGUGGCUUAUUUCGGAUUUGCUUGCAUUUCCGAAUGUUUACUUUGAGAAAAUUAGAGUGCUCAAAGCAGGCUUUUGCCUUGAAUAGUUUAGCAUGGAAUAAUAAAGUAGGACUUUGGUUCUAUUUUGUUGGUUUAGGUACCAAAGUAAUGGUAAUAG